GCAGCCUGUGGAACCAAAUCUCUUAUCCGAUUAAAAUGAUCACUGAACACAUCAAUAUUAUAUGCUUUUGCCGCCUUAUAAAAGUGGUAGACAACACUCGCAUUGUGAAAAUUAUUUCGAAUAUUUUCUCCUAAGUGCCUCAUGCAACAACCAUAAUGAGCUAAAGGAAAUACAAUUGAAACCAUUUUUCUAAUACUUUGAUGUCUAUC
rnacentral:lncRNA from 1 species